rnacentral:rRNA from 1 species
GACAAACUCUGGCGGCAUGCUUAACAUAUGCGAGUCACAACGAUGAAGCCUAGCUUGCUAUGUGGAUUAGAUGGCCAACCGGUGAAUAAUACCUGAGUAAUCUAGCUUUAACUCUGGGAUAAGCCUGGGAAACCGGUUCUAAUACCCGAUACGACCAAUCUCCGCAUGGGGUGUUGGUGGAAAGCGUUAUGUAUUGGCUACCCAUGGGCCCACGGUUCUAAUCUAGCUUGUUGGUGAGGUAACGGCUCACCAAGGCGACGACUGGUAGCCGACCUGAGAGGGUGACCGGCCACGCUGGGACUGAUACACGGCCCAGACUCCUACGGGAGGCAGCAGUGGGGAAUAUUGCACAAUGGGCGCAAGCCUGAUGCACCGACGCCGCGUGAGGAAUGACGGCCUUCGGGUUGUAAUCCUCUGUUAACAAGGAAGAACAGAUAUUGACGGUACCUGCAGAGAGAGCGCCGGUUAACUACUUGCCAUCCGCCCCGGUUAUACGUACGGCGCGAGCAUUGUUCGGAAUUAUUGGGCGUAAAGAGCUGGAGGCGGUUUGUCGCGUCUGCUGUGAAAGACCGGAGCUUAACUCCGUGUAUUGCAGUGGGUACGGGCAGACUAGAGUGCAGUAGGGGAGACUGGAAUUCCUGGUGUAGCGGUGGAAUGCGCAGAUAUCAGGAGGAACACCGAUGGCGAAGGCAGGUCUCUGGGCUGUAACUGACGCUGAGAAGCGAAAGCAUGGGGAGCGAACAGGAUUAGAUACCCUGGUAGUCCAUGCCGUAAACGUUGGGCACUAGGUGUGGGGGACAUUCCACGUUUUCCGCGCCGUAGCUAACGCAUUAAGUGCCCCGCCUGGGGAGUACGGCCGCAAGGCUAAAACUCAAAGAAAUUGACGGGGGCCCGCACAAGCGGCGGAGCAUGCGGAUUAAUUCGAUGCAACGCGAAGAACCUUACCAAGGCUUGACAUAUACUGGACCGCAUCAGAGAUGGUGUUUCCCUUCGGGGCUGGUAUACAGGUGGUGCAUGGUUGUCGUCAGCUCGUGUCGUGAGAUGUUGGGUUAAGUCCCGCAACGAGCGCAACCCUCGUUCUAUGUUGCCAGCACGUUAUGGUGGGGACUCAUAGGAGACUGCCGGGGUCAACUCGGAGGAAGGUGGGGAUGACGUCAAAUCAUCAUGCCCCUUAUGUCUUGGGCUUCACGCAUGCUACAAUGGCCGGUACAGAGGGUUGCGAUACUGUGAGGUGGAGCUAAUCCCUAAAAGCCGGUCUCAGUUCGGAUUGGGGUCUGCAACUCGACCCCAUGAAGUCGGAGUCGCUAGUAAUCGCAGAUCAGCAACGCUGCGGUGAAUACGUUCCCGGGGGCU